rnacentral:misc_RNA from 1 species
UAAUAUAUGAUUUUUCAUGGAAUCCAUUAUUGCUAGUCCUAUGCUACCCUGAAGAAAGUGCUUACAAGUUACAACAUCUAUGUUUCAUGGCUCACAGCCAAUUCAGUUCAAGGAACUUGUCCAGAAUCACCUAAAAUGUAUAUAAUUCAAGGAAAAAUACAGCAAUUCCGGAAACAGAACAAGGUACAGAAGAAGCAGAAACAUGAAACAUUUAUGAGGAUUGAAGGAACCUGAAUCCACUUAACAAAGAGCUCCAAAAGCCGUUUUGAGUUUUGUUACUUCGAUUCCUCAUCCAGCAGAAAAGAAGUACAGGAGAGAAGUGAUGACAGCUCUUCUUCUGUUGCCAAUCCAGAAGCUUGCCAUCGUAUUCUACCAAAUUUGUCAACCAAGAACAUGUACCCAGUCAGAAGGUUCAGUAUUUUAAGCUCUUUCCGGAAAUAGUAAUGGUCUCCAAACGAAUAAACAAUCUGUCUAUGCACGACAUCCUUGCUUUCAUGAGGGUUAGAUUUCCUCAUCAUCCGAAGUAGCAGUUUCUUCACAGGACUGAGUGUCAAAACCCACGAAUCUAUCAAGGAGAUCUCAUAGAGCUGAACCCUUUUGGAAUCUUUGAAUGUAUCUAGAAAUGGCUUGCUCCAAGAAUCUAUCAUUGCCUGUGAGCUUGCACGGAAUGAAAGACACAUCAACGACGCCUUUGAUGCUUCUAAUUUAUUUGCCUCAACGCCAUCUCCAGUGGAUGUGAUGGGAAGCUUAACGUUUGAACCAUCUGAGUGAAUCACUUCCAGUGCAGGAAACUUCACCGCCAGGGAGGCUGCUCUUCGUGA